UACGUAGGGGUGCGAGCGUUUAAUCGGAAUUACUGGGCGUAAAGCGUGCGCAGGUGGUCAUGCAAGACAGAUGUGAAAUCCCCGGGCUUAACCUGGGAACUGCGUUUGAAACUACAAGGCUAGAGUGUGGCAGAGGGGGGUGGAAUCCGACGUGUAGCAGUGAAAUGCGUAGAGAUGUGGAGGAACACCGAUGGCGAAGGCAGCCCCCUGGGUUAACACUGACGCUCAGGCACGAAAGCGUGGGAGCAAACAGG
rnacentral:rRNA from 1 species